UUGCAGAAUGCUACUCAGAAAAGCCAGAAGGUAUUUGUGCAUGUGCUUUCAGAAAUUGACGCUCAUGAAAUUAAGGAAAUUGGGUUGAGCACUUGCUGAGGGAUGUGAAGGAUACAACCAUUAGCACCCUUGCAACAGAGGCAGCUAUAUGGGUGGAGUUGAUCUUUGGCAAAAUGAUUAUAAGCAUGAUGAUGAUUUCAAUCUUCAGUCCAUGCAUGACAAAACGCUUGAGGUGGUGUGCAUUUCUGGAGCAUGGCACCUUGGCAAACUUCAGUUCAGGGAACAACAGAGAUAAAUGGAAAAAGUGCAUUGGAGACAAAGAUGAAGAGGCUAGAUUACAAGUCAACAAAACUCAUAUUCCCAAUGUAAUUGCA